CACGGGGUUGCGAGCGUUGUCCGGAAUUACUAGGCGUAAAGGGCAGGCAGGCGGAUCCAUAAGUUUAUCGUUUAAGGCGUCGGCUUAACCGGCGUAGGGCGGUAGAUACUGUGGAUCUGGAAUGCGGUUGGGGAAGACAGAAUUCUUGGUGUAGCGGUGGAAUGCGCAGAGAUCAGGAGGAAUACCAAAGGCGAAGGCAGUCUUCCAAGCCGUUAUUGACGCUCAACUGCGAAGGUGUGGGUAUCAAACAGGAUUAGAUACCCUGGUAGUCCCUGA
rnacentral:rRNA from 1 species